UACGUAGGGGGCGAGCGUUGUCCGGAUUCAUUGGGCGUAAAGAGCUCGUAGGCGGUUCAGUAAGUCAGGUGUGAAAUCUCCGCGCUCAACGCGGAGCGGCCACCUGAUACUGCUGUGACUCGAGUCCGGUAGGGGAGUGUGGAAUUCCCGGUGUAGCGGUGAAAUGCGCAGAUAUCGGGAGGAACACCAGUAGCGAAGGCGGCACUCUGGGCCGUGACUGACGCUGAGGAGCGAAAGCGUGGGUAGCAAACAGGAUUAGAUACCCUGGUAGUCCACGCCGUAAACGUUGGGCACUAGGUGUGGGUCUCUAUCGACGGGAUCCGUGCCGUAGCUAACGCAUUAAGUGCCCCGCCUGGGGAGUACGGCCGCAAGGCUAAA
rnacentral:rRNA from 1 species